AAAACAUUUGCACUCGACAACGUGUCUUUGGAACCAAAUUUUGUGUCCACCUAGUUAGGACUUGGAAAUUGAGAUUGCACGAGACUCUGAAAGAUUUUCAUGUAAACCUUUCGGGAAUAGAAAGGGGCAUGACCAUAUGGAUGGCAUAUAAUCGAUUACCCACAAACACAAUGUAGUGGAGAAAUUGUGGGGUCUUCAAUAUCUUACAAGUUCGCGAUUUAGUUGAGAGAGAGAGAGAGAGAGA
rnacentral:misc_RNA from 1 species